ensembl:lncRNA
GGGCCCGGACCACGCUAGCCGCUGCCUAGCCCGGGCUCCCGGCAGGAGGGCGCCCGGGCCCAGUACCCGAGUGCCCCGGUCUCUAGAGGGCUACGGAGCGCGUCUGCCUCCAGGACCGGGUAUUUGACUGAGCAGCCUGCGAAGUAGAGCGCGGAAGGUCCGCAGUGGGUGCGGCGCGGCGCAGUCGGGGCUAGCCCACUUGCUCAGCGUAGCUUUUCUAGAGCGUCGGGGGUCUCGAGGGGCCGGGGUUGGACAGCAGCUGCGCGACUCCGAGGGACUCUUCUCUGCAGAUCCAGGCCCGCACCUAUCUGCAGAUGCCUUUAUCUCUUCCAGUGAUCCACAGACUUGAUGAAAUCAGUUCGGGCCUCAGAGAGAAGAUGAAUUGUAAGCAAAAUUCAAAAAUCACGAUUCUGGGGAAAGAGACCCCCAAAUCCAGAGCCCUGUAGUACCAGCCCUGCUAGUUCAACUGAAGGCUGCAGCAUGCCCUGAUCUAAACGGGAAAACACAACAAGGAAAAUAUCAGAAGCACAAGCCAGAGCUGUUGUCCUCCUUACUCAUCCACUCAUCCAUCAAGAUAAGUCAGCAUCGUCUCCAUUAUCCACUACUUCCUCCCAACCGCGCUUUCUAAACUGCUGAGGAUGGAAGAGAAAGCAGACUGGACUUGCAGUAUACAUUUCACACUCUCAUCCAACAAGCAACUUAGCCGCUGACACACUGCCAGCUGGUCCCAUCAAGUUAGGUGGCAUGCGUCACCCAACAAGCUGCCUGUUGGAAUAGCUGGCUGUUACAUAGCCUGUUAAGAACCAGGCGAACAAGACCACCAAAAUGUGGCAGCUGCUGUCCAGACAAGACACCUUCAGGCAGAGCUGGGUGCAGCCCGGUGACUCGUGCAGACAACAUCUGGGUUUUAGUUGGAAGACGGCCUCUGCGUUGGAUGAAGCUCUUCCCACAGACAAAAGUUGGAAACAAAGUCAGAAACAGAAAAUGAGAUUUAAAAAAAAACAAAACAAACCCAAGGCAAUCUUCUUUUGAAAGACUGCAGAUGCCCUGUGGAUGGCUACCUUCCUCUCUGUGAUGGACUGCACCCUUGAGCCAGCCCAAAGAAACACUUCUUUCCCUGAGUCACGUUCACCGGGCAUUUUUUCACAGCAAAGAGGAAAGUGACUAACACAAGUUGUUACCCCAUUUCUGCUAGAUCUGGGCUCCUUUCAUUAGUCAACAUGACAUGGAUUGAACACCCACUCUGCCCUACUACUGAUCUACAAUGAAGGUGCCGGAACAAGGAAGUUAUGGGAACAAGACAGAGUUGGUUCAAAGAGAUGAUCGACAACAGCGCAGACAUGAAUGAGCAGGAUAAUGCAUGAUGACAGCCCAGUGAAGACCAUAAAGCAGAGGAUCCGGGGGCCAAGGAGAAUAUGUCUGCCCUGUGGUCAGGGAGGUCAACUUUUGGGGAAGUAUUUAACAUUGUCCCUGAGGCCUGUGCUUUGAAUCUUCUUGGCCCAUUUCUUAAUAUCAUGGCUCUCAUGACUUGAUCUUAGUGCCUUUCCUCCGCCAUUUCAGCUGUAGGACCCCAGGAAGGCUUCUCAGAGCCUCCCACAGCAAGCCAUAUGCUAUCCUACUACUUAUAAACCCACACUCUAUAAUGGUCCUUCACUCUGGCACCUCAUUAUAGAAAGUAGGAUGAAGUUGGCACCGAGAAUGAUUCCUAUUUGCUUCAGCCACAGUAAUCUCUUCAUUUUCUAAGACUUCAGUUAUGUGUGUUCAAUCAUCAUGGGAAAAUAUUGAAAAGAAAAUUAUUAGAAAUAAGCAGUUUAUUAAUUUAAGUGACUUUUAUUAUAGCAUUUUGUUAUAUGGCUCUACUUUGUUAUUAGUUGUUGGUAAUCAUUUACUAUGCUUUAUAAAUUAUUUGUCAAUAUUAAUAUUUGUUUAUAGGAGAAAAGAGUGCAUAUAGGAUUUGAUGCUAUCUGGGUUUCAAGCAUUCACUGGGGGUCUGGGAAUGGAUCCUCUGAGAUAAAAGGGGCAUGUCUCUUUUAAUACGCAUAAGGUUUACACUGCAGUACUGCUAAGUUCACUUUACUAUUUGGGACUCUGCUGAAAUUAUCUCUUUGCAGAGGAAGAGUAUCUCACCACCCACAUCAGCUUCCUCCUUCACCCAGAACAGAUUCCCAGAAAAUAAAAGUUCCUAAGACUGUUCUAGAAAGUUCAGAGACACAGAUGAGAACUUUGCUCUUUAAUCAUGCUUCAGGAAUGCAGGUGUUAUCUGUACACACUAUUAUCAAUUGUCUUUGAGAUCGCUGGCUAGAGUAAGCUUGGUCAUGAUUUCUAAUCAUUAGAGAUAGGUUGGGAGUUUUCAAUUCAUUUAUUCUCUUUAUUGUAGCUAAUUGAAGAAUACGUUGCCUUUGGAUUCAAAUAGCCAUUACUGGUUCUCUUUGCCAAGCCCUAUGCAAGACAUAUCUCCUUGGGAUUUUGUGAUGGCUUAGUGCUCUGUGUCAGGGAUAGAGAGGUGAGGCUCAGGUGAAUUAAGGGCUAGCUCAAAGUCAAA